UAUGCCACAAGAACUCAGUUUUAAGUGCGGCGUCAGCGGCUUAUCUCAUGUUUAUAUAAAAGUGCGAUGUUAAGACUGCUUAGUUGUAAUUAAGAAAUUAUGCAGUAAGUGCAGUGAUAAGUUUGUUAUACUGAUUUUACAAUACCACGAUAAGAAAAAUGAAUUUCGCAAUUUUAUGUGUAUUUUUAAUGACUGUAGUUUUUGGAAAACCGCAGUACGGAAACUAUCCUGAAAGGUAUGACAGUUAUAAUCUGCAGUUGUAUUAUCCAAAAAUAGCACCGGGCAUAUCAUGCUGUAAUGUGCCUCAGUGUUCCGAAGAUGGUUGUUACGAUACAAAAGUAUGCGGCUACUUGUGUCAAAAUUACAGGGAAGACUACGGUCCGACACCAGGUUAUAAAAUAAAAAAAUCAUACAAGAGCCAAUCGUGCCAUUUCGGCGAAUGCAAUAUGUUUGAUUUUGAUUGUUCGAACUGUCCCGAUCCAACUGUUCCUGAGUUCAGAAUAUACAGGGUGCGAAAGUCUUGUGCCUAUUGUUAUGAACGUUAAUUAGUUGAUAAAAUGUGUAUUUAUUUAUUUGUAUAUUUAGUUUUUUAAUAAAAUAUAUUUGAUACGUAUUGUUUUUGAUUUAGACGAUUUAAUAAAAGUAAAGAAAAAAUUUAAUAAUAUUUAUUAUACUAAUACCUUGUCUUUAUAAUAUUUAAAACCAAUUACUUCCAAUAUAAAUAUUUAAAGUAACUACUUGAGUCAUUUGCGCACAUUUUUAUAAACAAAGAUAUAUCUGUGGUAUUCUAAAUAACUAGAAUUUAUCAUUAGCAAUUUGAAGAUGACCUUAAGCACACAUCUCCCGUGUUUGGUUAACAAAUAAUUGGAAUAAGUUUUGUAAUUUGUGUGUUGUGAAAGUUUUUUCAAAACAUGGAUAUAUCGCUGAAAGAGGCAGUUUUUUUAAUUUUCAUAUACACCUCAAUCAGUGAUGGUUUAGUAACGUACGAUAAGAAGUUCGAACAGCUUUACAAUAACAAUUAUUUUCAACAAUUAAAUCAAGAAAUGCGAUUGCAAGAGUCUUCACCAAAAACUGUAUACGCCGCCAAAUUCCCGUACGUAAAAGAUGGAGUGAAACAAGAUUAUGGGCCAACUUUGGGUUGGUCUAGGAAAAGGUCGUACAAUUAUCAAAUAUGUGAUGACAAGAAGAAUUGUAGAAUAAGGACCAUGAAUUGCUUGCAGUGCCCAGAUUCGUUUAACCCCGAGUUUAGGCUUUAUAAUGUUAAACGUAAAUGCAUAAAAUGUUAUCAACAAACAUUUUUAAGUUAAAUAACUCUACUCUCUGAAUUCAGAUAUGUUCAAUUUUGUGUUUAGGAGUUAUAAUAUUAAACGAAAUUGUAUUAAACGCCAUUAACAAACGUAUUUAAAUUAUAUAUUUGUGUGAUAUUAUGUUUCUAUGCUUAAAUAAUAAAUGUUAUAAAGAAA